AUCCCCCCCUCUCUAUAGAUAUAUGUCGUUUUUGUUUAUUUUCUUGGUUAAUUGAUUGCCCAAACUGGUAUACGCAUGUUAAGCUAAUGCUAAAAAGAUACUGAGAUUCUCUUUGCCUUUUUUUUUAUGGAAUUAGUUAUUCUUUCAUUUAAUCAUUGCUUUCGCUGUUUGCUCAUGAACUUAUAGUUGAAACCACACAGACUUGCCAUGAAUUAUGUUGUUUGUCCAUGUCUCUUUCAAUAUACCCUUGAGUUAACACUGCGAUUAGGGUUUGGAUGUGGUUCUCAUUCACAUUCUUUAGCUAAAUCAACAUUACUAUGUUUUCUAGAGUGUUAACGUUGUUAGAUUACGCACUCUCUCUAAAGUGUGGAGGCACAGUAACUGCAAUUAGUUGCUGGCAUUUGUGCUUCUCCUGAUAGAUGCAAUCCAACCAGUACUUUAUCGAUCUUGAAUAAGAAUUCAGCCUAAAUCUCAAGUUGCUGACUAAACAAGUUUGUUUUAAUUUUGGUGCACACUGCGCCUUUUCUCACCCUGCCACCCGAGUUGUGAUGGAACGUUGUUCUUGCUGUCUGCUCUGCCACAAGAAGGUAGAUAAAUGUUCUCUCCUUUCCAAGCUACCAUAGACACACUGAAAGCAUCUUUUUUGCACUGUGCAUGAGAGAGUGGGCUAAACUCUGUCCAGCUCUCAUUACAAGCUCCAACUUUCUUGCCACGAACUACCAACAUCUGUCGAUCCCAAAAGCCUCACGCAUGCUCACACGCAAGACAAGAUAUAUCAUGUCUUUACUUUGUUGUCGAAUGAGAAGACUUGAGGAUCUAAAUACGCCAUCAUCCAUUAUUAAUAUGAAUCACUGUUGGAGUAGCUCUCUGGGUUCUAGCAAGAGAGAUGGAGAGGAUGUGAAAUACUAAGGGGAAAUAACAACAAGGGUAAUGCCUAACAAUAUCAAGAAGAACCAAAUUCACUAAUUUUGGUUCCAGUAGAGAAGAUAGCCGAAGAAAGAAUUGAUAAAGGGAAAGAAAGCUGAUAUUUUAUUGCAGAAAAUAAAUUACAAGGAAAAGAGAACAAGUAGCCUCACAACACUCAAGAGAAUCACUCUCAUUUUGGAAUCACACCAAAGACUAUGAACUUCAUUACAAUCUAACCAACCCAGACAUACAUUCUAAAUUAAAUAGAAAUUCAUAUUACAGUUAUUACUAGAUAACUACCAACUAAGAUAAGAAUAAUGACAGUUAUAGUAACUUCUUCUGCCACUUGGAAGUAUGAGAUGAUCUUUAAUUAUUGGUUAUAACUUCCCCUUUCUUGCCAACGUGUACCACUGGAAUUGUAGCCUCCAUAGAAUGUACUCCUUCACUUGAAUUAGCUUGAUUCCUGUCGGUUAUUAUGGCCUUCUGCUUGCCUUGGACUUGAGUGCUGUUACUUUGGUUACCCGAACUUGCAUCAAAGGGCACAGUCCUGAGGUUAUUGAGUUAGCCUGAGAGAAUUUGAAAAAGAUAAAAAUUUACUAAUAUUAAGCAUAUCAAGAAAUUGAAUGAGCUGCUGUUCAACAGGUCGUAAGUAAUUUGAACUUGUGUUGUUGUGCUGGGUUAGGACUUGGUAGAGAUGGAGGCUUUUGAGUUUAGACUUGAAGAUAAAAGGUUUCCUCCGCAGCAACUUGAGAUGGGUAUAAUUGAGUGGUUAAAUUGUUGGAAAUGAGUUGGAGAAUUGCUGGUAAUCAAGGUUUAUGUUGAUAUGGUUGAUAAGAGGUAAUGAUUUCAACAAGACUUUGGAUGCUCCACACUUAUACCCAAAGCACUGUCUGAGCAGAAUCCUGAAACAGAAGUGCAUAAAGAGGGAGGGAAAAAAGGAGAGCAGAUCCUAGAGGCAACUUUGUGGAAGGUCCUCAACUAAAGUAUCAAAUGCCCUGUUUUCUAGGAAAUUGCAACGACUGUGAUUGUGUCUUUGCAUAUUAAUUCACCUGAUUUGUGGUAUAAACCUUAAAUUAGAACUUUACUUAACCCAAAACUAGUAAAGAUUUGGUCUCAAAAACAAA